GGGGAUUCCCAUGAUGCAGAUCCAGUGAAAGUAGUUCUGGCAUGUGACAAGGAUUCCACCUGGGCGUCUCCCAGGUGAGGUGUACUGGCUGUGUCCAACCAGCGGAGGCCCUGGAUCAGACCCAGGACCUGAUGGAGUUCCCCUGGAUAAGCUGGAGGAGGUGGCUGUGGAGAGGGAGGACACCAGGAGAGAUGAGCAUAUCCAGCCCACAUCUGCAGCAACUGUACUUAAGGGAAGUUGGGACAAUGUUAAAGACUUUCUCCACGCAAUUGCACUUGGAUUAGCUAAAUUCAUGACAGGCAUUCAAGCAGUAAUGUCUGGACUGACAACCAAACAUACCAAGCUUCUGUGGUUGAGCCAGAGACUGCACUUGUGGAUGAACAAUACAAACAUAUUAUAUUUAUUAUAUCAGUAAUGUAACUUGCAACAAAAAGUUAUGGGAAGCUUAAACUUAGUUUCAGAAUAAUUAAAUCUGAGACUGGUACAGUUAGCAAAGUGUGAUCCACUGAACAAAGUGAGGAAGCUGAUCCACUUUGACAUGUCUGUUGUGAAAAGACUUUAUUGGAUUCCUACAUCCAGGUAGGUCUGGAUAGCUGCUUGUCCCUUAAAAAAUAAUUCUUCAUUUAAAACCUGCAUUUUGUAUACACUCAGAUCUUGGUCUAUUAUUAAAAGUGUGAUAUUUAACAACAACAAAUAUAUAUUAAUAUUAAUAUUAUAUUUUAUAAUAUUUUUUAAGUCUACGUAAAUAUCACAUCAUCAUCAACCCGUCCCUUCAUCUGGUUUUGUUGACUGUGGAGAACAGUGCACAUGGAGACUCUCCUGUUUCCUGACUUCUGUCUCUGAAAACAGAGAAGAAGAUUUCAUGAUUUGGAGGAUAUAGCAUCAACUGAAAUCAUUUCCAUUAAUGGUGAAAAAGAACAGUAAAAGCAGUGAGUUUGUUUCUUAGACAUGAGAGGACAGUCUCUCUCACCUCUUGGCUGCACUGCCUCUGUUAAAUCUAACAGCAGUGUACUCAGUAACUUCCUGUUCCUGCAUUUGUCUGUGAGGCUGAGCUGCUCUGAUGUUGGAGUAGAGAGGAUCUGCCUGGUUAUUGGAGAAGUGGAUGCUGGUGUACUGAAGAUCAUCCUGCUCCUCUGGCUGUCUCUGGUCAGGUAAACACUGUAUAGGAAAAGAGAUCUCAGCUACAAAUGUGAUCAAAUGUAUUUGAGUUAAAGAACAACAGCAAAGAAGGAUUUGGGAGUCCACCAGGAAGUUUAAAACCACAAUGUUGGUUAUUUGUACAACACUGAUGUGACUGUUUUCACCUGUUCUCUGUUGUUGGCUCUGUCUUCAGAUUUAACAGGUUCCUUGGACAUCCU
ensembl:lncRNA